UUUAUAUAGUAUAAAAAUUAUUCUCGACUUCCAAUCAAGAGAUCUGAAUACUCAGUAUAAAUAAU
rnacentral:tRNA from 1 species